UACAGAGGUGGCAAGCGUUGUUCGGAAUUACUGGGCGCAAAGGGCGCGUAGGCGGCCUUGUAAGUCCUGUGUGAAAUCCCCCGGCUCAACUGGGGAACUGCACAGGAGACUGCUUGGCUUGAGUUCGGGAGAGGGAAGCGGAAUUCCGGGUGUAGCGGUGAAAUGCGUAGAUAUCCGGAGGAACGCCGGUGGCGAAAGCGACGGGCUGGAUCUCUUCUGACGCUGAGGCGCGAAAGCUAGGGUAGCGAACGGG
rnacentral:rRNA from 1 species